GGCUCAUAAAAAUGGAAAAAAAAAGAAGAAAUAAAAGAAAAAGAAGGCUUUGAUAAAGGGGGAACAAAGCAAAGAAAUGAGAAAAAAGGAAAAAGAAUUACAAAUCCUUGCCUCAUGGCCAACGGAGAUGAGGUAAAUUCUGAAAACUCUUCUAAAUUUUCUUUCGAUAAAUUAUUAGAAGCCUUUUAUAAGCAAAUGGAUG
rnacentral:lncRNA from 1 species